AAAUCCCUAAUUUCACUUUUGUCCCAAAUCAAACCCUAAUUUGCUAAAUAUUUCCUAAAAUCCUAACCCUAACUUUCCCAUUCCCUUUCAGCCGCCACACACCCUUCACCCUUCCAAAAUCAAACAGAAAAAAAAAAAACCAACACUUUGCAGCAGCAAAAAUUAACUGAGAGGAAGAAAAGAGAGGAGAGGGUGCGAAUCAGGAGAGGGGAAGGGGGGAGAGUGCGCCGGCGAGUCACCGCCGCUCGUCGCGCUGCCGUCGUCGCUGAUGAGGGAGGAACGAGGAGAGUGUGUUGCGGAGCAGGAGGAGCUACCCACAUACGCCACCGUGGUGCACCACCGCCACGUCGCCGACGAAGGGGAAAGAGCGAACCGCGCCGUCCGUGAAGCUUGGCUCGCCGUCGUCCGUGCGCGUCGCUGUCGAGGGUACAUCCACGCCAUCGCCGGAGCUUGAACGCCGCUGCAACCACCGCGAGUUAUCAUCUUCAGAUCCGCCGCCGUUUGAGUCGCGAAUAGGGGAAAGGCGCGAAGGAAACCAUCGCGGAGCUGCCGUCGCCGCCGCGUUGCUGGGCUCGCCGUCGUUCUGCCCGCGUGGUUGCUGCGUUGCCGGAGCUCCUCGCCGCCGUUGCUGGCGCCGGAAACCGCCUUUCAAGCCAGUGUCUGUUGGUUAUACGGUCACCGUGAGUCUCUCUGUCGCCGUCUAAGCUGCCAUCAGAAGGAUCCACCACAGCCUCCUCUGUUCUUGUCUUCGGAUCAGUACUACCCUUUUCCAGUUUCAAUCCCUAUUCUGCUAUUUCUGAAUAUGUAACUCCUCAGUCCUUACUCCGCUUCCAUUUUGUUUCUUAGUCUUUUUCUAUUCUGAAUAAGAAAAACCUAUAUUUCUGUUUAACACUGCUGCUCUGCCUUCCCUGUUUGCUGAUGGAAUCAUCAUAGGUAACAGUAUUAACGAUACUAACGAGCUAUUAGAGUUGCUGCCGCUGCUGAAAUUAACAAAAAGAGAAGGGAGUUACCGUGUUUAACCUAUGUGAAUUCAGCUAGUCGAGGAACCGGAUGAAGAAGCA